AAAUGCGCUAAGUAAUGUGCAUUGCAGAAUUCGGUGAAUCAUCGAAUCUUUGAACGCACCUUGCGCUCCUUGGUAUUCCUUGGAGCAUGCCUGUUUGAGUAUCAUGAAAUCUUCAAAGUAAAUCUUUUGUUAACUCAAUUGGUUUCUACUUUGGUAUUGGAGGUCUUUGCAGCUUCACACCUGCUCCUCUUUGUUCAUUAGCUGGAUCUCAGUGUUAUGCUUGGUUCCACUCGGCGUGAUAAGUUAUCUAUCGCUGAGGACACUGUAAAAGGUGGCCAAGGUAAAUGCAGAUGAACCGCUUCUAAUAGUCCAUUGACUUGGACAAUACUUUUAUGAUCUGAUCUCAAAUCAGGUAGGACUACCCGCUGAACUUAAGC
rnacentral:misc_RNA from 1 species